rnacentral:rRNA from 1 species
GAGUUUGAUUCUGGCUCAGAACGAACGCUGGCGGCAGGCUUAACACAUGCAAGUCGAGCGCCCUUCGGGGAGCGGCAGACGGGUGAGUAACACGUGGGAACGUGCCCUUUGGUUCGGAAUAUCCCCGGGAAACUGGGAGCAAAACCGGAUAAGCCCUUCGGGGGAAAGUUUACGCCAAAGGAUCGGCCCGCGGCUGAUUAGGUAGUUGGUGGGGUAACGGCCCACCAAGCCGACGAUCAGUAGCUGGUUUGAGAGGACGACCAGCCACACUGGGACUGAGACACGGCCCAGACUCCUACGGGAGGCAGCAGUGGGGAAUCUUGGACAAUGGGGGCAACCCUGAUCCAGCCAUGCCGCGUGGAUGAUGAAGGCCUUUGGGUUGUAAAAUCCUUUCGCCAGGGACGAUAAUGACUGUACCUGGAAAAGAAGCCCCGGCUAACUCCGUGCCAGCAGCCGCGGUAAUACGGAGGGGGCUAGCGUUGUUCGGAAUUACUGGGCGUAAAGCGCACGUAGGCGGAUCGUUAAGUUGGGGGUGAAAGCCCGGAGCUCAACUCCGGAACUGCCUUCGAUACUGGCGAUCUAGAGUAUGGGAGAGGCG